AUUGAACGCUGGCGGCAGGCCUAACACAUGCAAGUCGAGCGAGCGGCGGACGGGUGAGUAAUGUAUGGGGAACUGCCCGAUAGAGGGGGAUAACUACUGGAAACGGUGGCUAAUACCGCAUACUAUCGGAUGUACCCAUAUGGGAUUAGCUAGUAGGUGGGGUAACGGCUCACAAAGGCGACGAUCCCUAGCUGGUCUGAGAGGAUGAUCAGCCACACUGGGACUGAGACACGGCCCAGACGCCUACGGGAGGCAGCAGUGGGGAAUAUUGCACAAUGGGCGCAAGCCUGAUGCAGCCAUGCCGCGUGUAUGAAGAAGGCCUUAGGGUUGUAAAGUACUUUCAGCGGGGAGGCGUUACCCGCAGAAGAAGCACCGGCUAACUCCGUGCCAGCAGCCGCGGUAAUAC
rnacentral:rRNA from 1 species